AGUGAACGCUGGCGGUAGGCCUAACACAUGCAAGUCGAACGGCAGCACAGUAAGAGCUUGCUCUUACGGGUGGCGAGUGGCGGACGGGUGAGGAAUACAUCGGAAUCUACUUUUUCGUGGGGGAUAACGUAGGGAAACUUACGCUAAUACCGCAUACGACCUACGGGUGAAAGCAGGGGAUCUUCGGACCUUGCGCGAUUGAAUGAGCCGAUGUCGGAUUAGCUAGUUGGCGGGGUAAAGGCCCACCAAGGCGACGAUCCGUAGCUGGUCUGGGAGGAUGAUCGCCCACCUUGGAAUUUAGGCACGGUCCAACCCCCUAGGGGAGGCAACCGUGGGGAAUAUUGGACAAAGGGCGCAAGCCGUAACCACCCCACCCGCGGGGAGGAAAAAGGCCUUCGGGUUGUAAACCCGUUUUUUAGGAAAAGAAAAGCAGGAGGUUAAAACCCCGCUUUUCUGAGGGAACCCAAAGAAUACACCCCGGCUAACUGUAC
rnacentral:rRNA from 1 species